rnacentral:rRNA from 1 species
UACGUAGGGGGCAAGCGUUGUCCGGAUUUAUUGGGCGUAAAGAGCGUGUAGGCGGCCAUGUAGGUCCGUUGUGAAACUCGAGGCUCAACCUCGAGACGCCGAUGGAAACCAUGUGGCUAGAGUCCGGAAGAGGAGAGUGGAAUUCCUGGUGUAGCGGUGAAAUGCGCAGAUAUCAGGAAGAACACCCGUGGCUAAGGCGGCCUGCUGGGACAGUGCUGACGCUGAGGCGCGACAGCGUGGGGAGCAAACAGG